rnacentral:lncRNA from 1 species
UUCCGGAAUGAUAGAUUAUAAUAGUAAAGGAUUUUGAGUCCGAUUAGGAGUAAAGAUAGGCUCAGAAUCCCUGGAGAUGACGCCAAAGCUGAACUUCUCUUGGCCUCGAGCCCGAUGUCUGAGUGGCCCAGUAUGCUUGCGUUCCUCGAGAGCCCCCUCUGUCUCUAUUAAUGGAGGGCAAAAGUCAAACAAGGAGGGGUGGAAAGUCAUUCCGACUGUGUUCUAUCAUACGGAACUGCAAGGAGCAUCUUUAAAUGGCUCCGAUGGCAGAUGUUCUUUUAGCCGGCAUGUAGUCUAGCCGUGGAGAGGGAGG